ACCACAACUCUCCUACCUUCUUUUCCCAGUGAGUUUCAAUUCUAAGCUGCUGUUAGCCCAAAAUAUUUAGAAAAGAGGAGAGUUAUAAAGAGAGAAGAAAAGAGUUACUAAAAUCUUAAAAGUCCCGAGACUAGGCCUAAAAUUAAAGACUAGAGAGAAGUACUAUAAAAUCUGUUUUAGAAACCCUCUAGCAAGCUAACCCUCGAACGAUUAACCCAUGGACAGCUAACCCCCUAACUACUUAUUCUAACCCAUAUUUGUAGUUCCUCUUUGUGUUUUUCUGUUCCUUGUGUGACAAGAUGUCAUUCUUUGGUUUCGGGUGUAUGACCAGAAGCCGUUCCAGGAGGACUAGUUACGAUAUGGACACAGAUACUCCUGCUUCAUCAUCAAGAGCUUCACCAGCACAUCCUUCCACUGAGGGCACUAUCAACAAGCUCAUGGUGGAGAAGGAUGUCCGGUUGUGUGGCCAAAUGGAGAAGGACAAGCUCUGGAAUAUCAAGGAUAGGGAAUACAAGUUGACAACAGUUUCCCAUCCUCAACUCCUAUGAGAUACAGCCUUCACCCCUAAAUAGGAGUACAUCUGCCCGACAUGUGAAUGCACCAUGCAUUACUACAGAGAAGAUCCAGCACCAGGGUUGGCAUACACUGAUCAACCAGGCACAUCAAGGCAAUAUCACCAAUGGACACCCUCACCAUCACACCAUUUUGAAGGAUCUUCCCAAGAUUUUGAGGAGAGGCACAGAAGAUCAAGAUCGCAAGAUUCUCAGCCCAGACGUGGAUCGUCCAGGACCAUCGCACAGACAUCAAGACCCACCAAGACACUCUGUCUCAAGUAAAGAGGGUCAACUGGCUCAUCUGAAUCUUCAAAUAGAUACUAUCUCCGAAGAGCAAGCCAACAUCAGCCAAACACUUAUUGAAUAGCAACAGUGGAAUACCCAGUGUGGUGAAACUUUGAACAAUAUACAGCAAAACUAGGCCAAAGAUGGAUGGAAUUGGGAAGCCUUCUACGCCAUUCCUCAGUUCCACCCAUAUAGGUCGCCUCCUUAGUGACACCCUUGGGAAGGAGUUCUCAAGGUCUCUCCAUCAACAAAUUCUAUGACACCGGCAACAGCAAGCUUGGGAGAGGAGCCCCCAAGUCUUUUCUUCUCCCUAAUUUGAGAUAGGAGAUCUCAAGUUCAUGCUACAUCACCUUUCGGGAGGUAACUCGAGAGCCAGGUAUCCCGUAAAACCCUAGUAGUUAUCUUAUUAUAAUUUGUUUCCAUCUAGAUAAUAAAUAAAACCAAAUCAAAAGAUUAUAUUUUCUUUAUUAUUAAGAAAAAGAUCAAAACCCAAAAAGAAACUUGAAAGUGGAAACCAUGAUGUAAAUGAUGAAUAGUUGCUCUGCCUGAAUUCCUUUAAAAGUACAUAGUAUUCAGUCUUGAAUUCUCCUGAGUUUUGGAUCUGACUGUUCUGAUUUAAGAAUUUACUCUAAUCUAAAACUUGUGAGUAGCAGUUGCUUGAUCUAAGUCUAAGUAAUUGGCGGAUAUGAUAUAGAAAGUUUCAGCUGUUAUCCUCUUGUUCUAAGAGAUACUUGAAAUUUGGAGAUUUAUAUUUUGAAAACUUGAAACUAUCACAUGAUGAGUUCUUGUAUGAUGAGAGCUUUAAUUCAUACCAUAGCUUUAUACAUACAUAUUUGUUAGAAUAGGAAAACCAGCUCAUAAGCUACUUGUUUUGUGUUGAGUUUGGUCAACCUGUGUUAGACCCUUAUUGAGAGGUUCAUCAUGCUCUAAAGAUCAAGAAGAUUACACUUUACACCCCUUGCUACUUCUAUCCUGGAAGUACGCACCACCAUAUUCACCUAUUUAGAUCCACUCAAAAAUGUUAUGCUCCUACAUUGGGAGUAAACACCAAAAAUAUAUUUCCAUAGGUUUUUCCUUGAUUGCUAGCCAAACACUCAAAAAUAGUGCUCUAAUUUAUUGUUUAUCCUCUCGAAGAGUUUUUCAUCACAAAUUGGGCUAUUAUGAUUUGUUCUUAAAAAAGAGAGAAAAAAUAAGAAGAUAGAAAGAAAGAAAGAAGAAAUCCCCUGUUCCUCAAAAUUUCAAACUGAGAGAAGUACUUUUGUAAAUGAACAUUAUAGAAUUAUUCUUUCACCCUUCCUCUUCACAAAUAAUCUCUACCAUAAAUAUUCAUUUGAAACUACACAUGCACAUCUUGAUCUAAGGGUAUGGUCUCCCCUCCGAGGAUCCUGGUUUGAGUAUUGGCGAUAUAUGCAAGAUAAGUAUGUUGUAUCCUCUAAUUACCUUCAGCUCCACAUAAGCCUUAGUUAUAGGGAGAGAAGAGGGAAGAUACAAUGAUCAGUACCUUAGGAAGAAAUCCACAAAUACCACACAUGAGAGGCUUGAAAGGAUCAUACAAAGGAAUCUCUAAGCUUUAUUUUGAAAACUUUGCAAAACUCUAGAAAUAAGGUUGAUCAAAGAAUUCGAAAUAGUACUUGACUAUACUAUUUUGUCUUUCAAUUACUCAAGACCUAAGUAACAACAAUAAGAUCUAUAGUUGAAGGAAACAUGGGUAAGUUUGAAGAUUGAACUGUUUAUCCAUUGUUUGGUAGAAGAAUUCCUUGUUUGAAUAUUUGUGUACCUUUAAGGUGUGAAAGCAUUGCAACAACUCCUGAUACAUCACGGUAAUUUGCUAAGGGACUAGCAAAAGGCAAGCUUGGGGAGCAUAUUGAUGGUCCUUAAUGUCAACAAUAUACUUUCAAUUAAUGCACAACAUAAUGGCAAAAGAGUUAUUAAUGCUUAGUUGUAGGGAUUAUUCUAACAAGUUCCACGAGUUGUGUUGCUUUUACCUAUUUUGCAGGAUCAUUGACACUUCACCACAUCAAAGUGUUAUAAAUGAUGUAACCGAGCACACCAUUAUAAAGGGCUCAUCAAGACAAUCAAAACAGACAUAUCACUUGCUAUAUUUCGAUACGACCAAGAAUUCUCUAGAAUACUCUCGAAGAAUCACCAAACAAGAGUUUUAUGGACUAACAUGAUAAUUUCCACAACUUUGGUGAUUUGUGAAUUUUCAAGGAUAAAAAUAGAAAGAGUAGGAGCCAAGGAACCAAACCAAAUCAUGUCUCAAUUCCACAAGAAUUGAUGGGAAAGUUCUAGAGGACACCGGAAGACAAA